AUUGAACGCUGGCGGAAUGCUUUACACAUGCAAGUCGAACGGCAGCACGGGUGCUUGCACCUGGUGGCGAGUGGCGAACGGGUGAGUAAUGCACCGGAACGUAUCCAAUAAUGGGGGAGUAACGCACCGAAAGGUAGUGCUAAUACCGCAUAACGCCCUCGAGGGGGAAAGGACGGGGGAGUCGUAAGACCUCGCGUUAAUGGAGCGGCCGAUGCCGGAUUAGCUAGUUGGUGAGGUAAAGGCUCACCAAGGCGACGAUCCGUAGCUGGUCUGAGAGGACGACCAGCCACACUGGAACUGAGACACGGUCCAGACUCCUACGGGAGGCAGCAGUGGGGAAUUUUGGACAAAUGGGCGCAAGCCUGAUCCAGCCAUUCCGCGUGAGUGAAG
rnacentral:rRNA from 1 species